rnacentral:rRNA from 1 species
GACGAACGCUGGCGGCGUGCUUAACACAUGCAAGUCGAACGGUGAAGCGCCUUCCUUUUUGGUGGGUGUGGAUGAGUGGCGAACGGGUGAGUAACACGUGAGUAACCUGCCCCCUUCUUCUGGAUAACCGCAUGAAAGUGUGGCUAAUACGGGAUAUUCUGGGUCUGUCGCAUGAUGGGUCUGGGAAAGAUAUUGUUUCGGUGGGGGAUGGGCUCGCGGCCUAUCAGCUUGUUGGUGGGGUGAUGGCCUACCAAGGCGGUGACGGGUAGCCGGCCUGAGAGGGUGGACGGUCACACUGGGACUGAGACACGGCCCAGACUCCUACGGGAGGCAGCAGUGGGGAAUAUUGCACAAUGGGCGCAAGACUGAUGCAGCGACGCCGCGUGAGGGAUGGAGGCCUUCGGGUUGUGAACCUCUUUCGCCAGUGAAGCAGGCCUGCCUCGUUUGUGGGUGGGUUGACGGUAGCUGGAUAAGAAGCGCCGGCUAACUACGUG